UAGUUGGUGAGGUAACGGCUCACCAAGACCGCGAUCGGUAGCCGGACUGAGAGGUUGAACGGCCACAUUGGGACUGAGACACGGCCCAGACUCCUACGGGAGGCAGCAGUGGGGGAUAUUGCGCAAUGGGGGCAACCCUGACGCAGCAACGCCGCGUGAAGGAUGAAGGUUUUCGGAUUGUAAACUUCUUUUAUUAAGGACGAAAAUUGACGGUACUUAAUGAAUAAGCUCCGGCUAACUACGUGCCAGCAGCCGCGGUAAUACGUAGGGAGCAAGCGUUGUCCGGAUUUACUGGGUGUAAAGGGUGCGUAGGCGGCUUUGCAAGUC
rnacentral:rRNA from 1 species